CGCGUAGGCGGGAUGGCAAGUCGGUCGUGAAAUCCUUCGGCUCAACCGAAGAACGUCGGCCGAAACUACCAUUCUUGAGGGAUGCAGAGGAGACUGGAAUUCCCGGUGUAGCGGUGAAAUGUGUAGAGAUCGGGAGGAACACCGGUGGCGAAGGCGGGUCUCUGGGCAUCUCCUGACGCUGAGGCGCGAAAGCGUGGGGAGCAAACGGGAUUAGAUACCCCGGUAGUCCACGCUGUAAACGAUGACGACUAGGUGUGGGGUGGUUCAGUCCACUCCGUGCCGCAGCUAACGCAUUAAGUCGUCCGCCUGGGGAGUACGGCCGCAAGGUUGAA
rnacentral:rRNA from 1 species